CCUACGGGUGGCAGCAGUGGGGGAUAUUGGACAAUGGGGGGAACCCUGAUCCAGCGACGCCGCGUGAGUGAAGAAGUAUUUCGGUAUGUAAAGCUCUGUCAGCAGGGAAGAAAGCAAUGACGGUACCUGACACAGAAGCCCCGGGUAACUACGUGCCAGCAGCCGAGGUAAUACGUAGGGGGCAAGCGUUAUCCGGAAUUACUGGGUGUAAAGGGAGCGUAUACGGUUGUGCAAGUCUGGAGUGAAAGGCGGGGGCCCAACCCCCGGACUGCUCUGGAAACUGUAGGGCUGGAGUGCAGGAGAGGUAAGCGGAAUUCCUAGUGUAGCGGUGAAAGGCGUAGAUAUUAGGAGGAACACCAGUGGCGAAGGCGGCUUACUGGAAUGUAACUGACGUUGAGGCUCGAAAGCGUGGGGAGCAAACAGGAUUAGAUACCCGAGUAGUC
rnacentral:rRNA from 1 species